rnacentral:rRNA from 1 species
AGAGUUUGAUCCUGGCUCAGAUGUGAACGCUGGCGGCAUUGCCUUACACAUUGCAAGUCGAACGGUAACAGGAAGCUUGCUCCGCUGACGAGUGGCGAACGGGUGAGUAAUAUAUCGGAACGUGCCCUGGAGUGGGGGAUAACUAGUCGAAAGAUUAGCUAAUACCGCAUACGAUCUACGGAUGAAAGUGGGGGACCCGCUCGUAAGGGCCUCAUGCUCCUGGAGACGCGCCGCAUAAUCUUGAUAUAACUCAUAUUUGGGUUGAAGGUUAAAGGGCCUCCCCCCAAGGGCCUUCCGAUUCCAGUUAAGCUUGGGUUCUUGAAGAAGGGAACCGAACCCAGGCCCCACCACCUGGGGGAAACCUGAAGAAACACCGGGGCCCCCAGNAACCUCCCCUUACCGGGGGAAAGGGGCCAAGCCCAAGNUGGGGGGGGGAA